CCGAAAAAGUUGUUGGUUCUUCCUUUGAUUUUAUUUUAUAUUUAUUCUAAUUUCCAAUCCAUGUUCUUUAAAUUGGACUUAUACAAUCUCGCUGAAUUCGAAUAAUGAAACUUGUUGUGAGUUUUCUGUUCUCAAAGAUGUUUUUCUUAAUUAAUGGUUGGAAAGUUUCAAACCAACUCAUCAUGCGAUUCAUAAACAUGAGGAUUGAAAGAGACUGAAGAUGAUCUACAAAGCGCAGUCGGGAAUUGAAAUGAAAUAUGGUAGGUACUUGAUGUUUAUUUUAUAUCUAUGCUAUCUGCCACCUCAACCUGAAUUGGCAAGGGGUUUGUUGUUGUGGCCUAUGCAGAUGACCCAGUGCUUCUGAUUAGAGGUAAGAUAAUCGGUGUCAUUUUUGAUCUGAUGUAGAACACUCACAUGAUUGAGCAAUGGUGCUUAGAAAAUGAACUCUUGGUCAAUCCUGGUAAAACUGAGACGGCUCUUUAUACUAGGAGGAGGGUGCCCUGCAACACCAAGAUUUCUAGUUUGUUGUGGGAUUGGGCUCACUCUAUCCAAGCAAGUCCAACAUCAUGGUGUGAUACUGGACUGCAAACUAUUGUAGAAAAAACAUACUGAGAUCCAAUCAAAUAAGGCUAGUAUGAACUUUUGUCCCACUUAGUAAGGAAUAAGGCUUCAGACCAAACAUUAUGCACUGGAUGUAUACUGUGGUGGUUAAGGCCUAACCUUAACUAUGCUUGCAGGAAAGAACUGUAAACCUGUAGUAGCCUUACAGAGUUAAGGUCAUCACAACAUCGACUAUUCUUGUGGUGGUAGGGACACCUGCCUGUUGACAUGCGGCAUUCUGGUCGGCGUGUCUCAGGAGGUGAGUCUCCAACUACAUGCCAAUGAACCACAAGGCCUCGGUUCAGCCCAGUGGAGGCACCGCAAGUAGAAGAAAGACCAAAUUACAUGAUUUUCACUAAAUGUUUUAAUCAUGUUUUGCCAUUGCAAUAGCAUCUUCAGGUGGGUGAAUGUACUCAUUGGUUCAUGUGGUAACAUUAAUUACAAUAAUGGUGAAGUGAAAUUUCAUUAAAACCAUGCUUUUAUGUACAUUUUUAUUCUUAUGUUUUUUUAACAAGGUCAUUAUAAUAAACUGUUAUACCUA